rnacentral:rRNA from 1 species
UACGUAGGUGGCGAGCGUUAUCCGGAAUUAUUGGGCGCAAAGAGCGCGCAGGUGGUUGAUUAAGUCUGAUGUGAAAGCCCACGGCUUAACCGUGGAGGGUCAUUGGAAACUGGUCGACUUGAGUGCAGAAGAGGGAAGUGGAAUUCCAUGUGUAGCGGUGAAAUGCGUAGAGAUAUGGAGGAACACCAGUGGCGAAGGCGGCUUCCUGGUCCGUAACUGACACUGAGGCGCGAAAGCGUGGGGAGCAAACAGGAUUAGAUACCCCGUA